rnacentral:rRNA from 1 species
UACGUAGGGUGCGAGCGUUAAUCGGAAUUACUGGGCGUAAAGCGUGCGCAGGCGGUUCGUUGUGUCUGCUGUGAAAUCCCCGGGCUCAACCUGGGAAUGGCAGUGGAAACUGGCGAGCUUGAGUGUGGCAGAGGGGGGUGGAAUUCCGCGUGUAGCAGUGAAAUGCGUAGAGAUGCGGAGGAACACCGAUGGCGAAGGCAGCCCCCUGGGCCAACACUGACGCUCAGGCACGAAAGCGUGGGGAGCAAACAGG